CUGCAGGAGUCGUGCUGCAUUUUGUCCCCUCAAGAUUGAAAGUUUAAUUAAAAAUGGAUCUCUGUCAUCCUUCAGGGCAGAAAAGAAUUGAUCGACCACAAAGAGGACAGUGCAAUUGACCUGCCCCGCACAGUUGCCAAAGUUUUUCCGUUUGCGGUUUUGGCGGACUAGACUUCAAACGACACGGCGGGCCCAUUUGAAGUGGAUCAGACAGGCCUUUCCAUGGGCAAUUUUCCCAGGACGACCCCAUUAUUAUUCCGCGGAGACGUCUGCCCCCUCCGAGCCCGAUGGGUGGUCUUUCUGAAGGCGAAAGGAAGAGGAAAAGAAAGGGUAAAAGGCAGCUACCCUCGGCGGCUCCUUCAACCCGCACGCCGGCGAGAUUCUUGUCAGCACUCACCAUGCAUGACAUCAUGAACGGGAAGGUAGCUCGCUCGUUGGGUAUUUGGGAAGACGCACGUCGACAAACGGAAGCUGCCACUCACCGUCACGAGGAUGGAGCACCCUAGUAAAGACGUCUACGUUUGCUUCCCAUGCGAGUUAGAAGCCCCAGUCCCCACCUCCUGCAACAAAAGAAGGCCUUUUUUUUUUUUUUUAAAUUAAAACUAUAAGGUAAGUCCAUCACACACACGAGUGAAAUUCCAUCACCUCUGCCGACUGUGGAAACUAUAGCGGAAAAAUGGUAAGAGUUGUUGAUUCCCACCAGAAGCGAGUGGACGGACGUCACGGUCAGCAGGAGCCUCGCCCGCCAGAGGUAACCGAUACCCAUUACCCGAAAAAGUCUUCUCCCACAGGGCCCAAAGGAGCGGCUAACACCGUUAAUCACAUCACGCCAAAGCCACAGAAAAGUGGCGCUUUGAUUCAGAUACUCGGAUAAAGAGAAAAAGCGUGUGGGAAAAAAAAAAAACGGGUUUUGUCCGCUCGGGAGGACGAGCGCGCAUGUCGUGCUCAGCUGGGUAAUAUAUGCAUAAGCUCAACAUGACAGCUGGAUCUCCUCCAGGAGAACGUGCGGUUAACUGUGUCAUUUUUCCCCUCAGAUGCGGCUCGGCUUUUUGGGAAGUUGCUUGGAGGAGGACCGUUUGCAAGCGAUGAGGUUUGGCUCGCAGCACGCUUCCAAUUAUCCCCAUUAACGGCGUUUCCAAGUCCAUGUUGACGUUUGUGUGAAAGUACUGCUGCCCAACAUGACUUUUAAAGGCUUAUUAGUCCAGGUCGUGGCUUUACAUCAAAUUAAACAGUUACAAUUUUGAAUGCUGGUAGAAUAACUGAGUUGUUUUGGGUGGGCGAUCAGGACGAGCCAACAGUGUUAUCGUUUGAUCAAGCUAAUGUUACUCAUGGGACUACGUAUUUAUCGGAAGUCCCAUUAUGACAUUAUAAAGCAAUAGUAUUCAAUUGCCGGCUGUAAAUCAUUAACAUUUGUUGAGCUAACGUAGCUCCGUUCAUCUCAUUAGCUAGCACCGGCGCUAAUUAUGUCGUUAGCGUGCACGUGGUUGGAUUGCUUAUUUUUUGUUUUAAUUUCAGGGUGAAAAAUCGUUUUACUUUAGUGUCAAUAAUAUUUGUUUACUGAUCAUUUAUUUACUUAUUUAUUUUGCCACUAACAAGAUAAAAAAAAAAGAAUCUUUUUUGUUGUCGUUUUCAAAGUGUAAACUGAGAACCUUUUGAUGCAACUUUUUGUUGGGCAGAAAGUUCCGGCAUGGGUGACAGUGCGCUUUGCCCACCCCUCCAUUUGGUCUCACUCUAUCAUGUCCCAUGAUUGUUUACUCGGCGCACAAAAGGCAUGGCCGCCUGAGCUCAUUAUGAGAUCGGCAGCUCUAAUAUACUGCCAAGUGCUGCCCCAUUUCCUGGGCCUGUUGUCUUGGCAACGCAGCUUCCAAGAGAGGUGGUGGGAGGAGGAAGGGGGGGGGGGAGUUCUGGUCGGAACCCGGUGGUUGAGACUUUUUGAAGAGUUUGGGGAGGGCG